CCUACGGGAGGCAGCAGUGAGGAAUAUUGGUCAAUGGACGCAAGUCUGAACCAGCCAUGCCGCGUGCAGGAAGACGGCUCUAUGAGUUGUAAACUGCUUUUGUACGAGGGUAAACGCAGAUACGCGUAUCUGUCUGAAAGUAUCGUACGAAUAAGGAUCGGCUAACUCCGUGCCAGCAGCCGCGGUAAUACGGAGGAUUCAAGCGUUAUCCGGAUUUAUUGGGUUUAAAGGGUGAGUAGGCGGUCGGAUAAGUUAGAGGUGAAAUCCCGAGGCGCAACUUCGGAAUUGCCUCUGAUACUGGUCGGCGAGAGAGUAGUAGAGGUAGGCGGAAUGUAUGGUGUAGCGGUGAAAUGCUUAGAGAUCAGACAGAACACCGAUUGCGAAGGCAGCUUACCAAGCUACUUCUGACGUUGAGGCACGAAAGCGUGGGGAGCAAACAGGAUUAGAUACCCGAGUAGUC
rnacentral:rRNA from 1 species